rnacentral:rRNA from 1 species
CAGCACCUCAAGUGGUCAGGAUGAUUAUUGGGCCUAAAGCAUCCGUAGCCGGCUCUGUAAGUUUUCGGUUAAAUCUGUACACUUAACGUACAGGCUGCCGGGAAUACUGCAGAGCUGGGGAGUGGGAGGGGUAGACGGUACUCGGUAGGAAGGGGUAAAAUCCUUUGAUCUAUUGAUGACCACCUGUGGCGAAGGCGGUCUACCAGAACACGUCCGACGGUGAGGGAUGAAAGCUGGGGGAGCAAACCGGAUUAGAUACCCGAGUAGUCC